rnacentral:rRNA from 1 species
CCCCUUUGGGGGUACUCGAGUGGCGAACGGGUGAGUAACACGUGAGUAACCUGCCCUUGACUUCGGGAUAACUUCAGGAAACUGGGGCUAAUACCGGAUAGGAAUCCUUGCUGCAUGGUGGGGGUUGGAAAGCUUCGGCGGUUGUGGAUGGGCUCGCGGCCUAUCAGUUUGUUGGUGGGGUAGUGGCCUACCAAGGCGGUGACGGGUAGCCGGCCUGAGAGGGUGACCGGCCACAUUGGGACUGAGAUACGGCCCAG